UUUGGUGGCGACCGGCGCACGGGUGAGUAACGCGUAUGCAACCUACCCUGUACAGGGGGAUAGCCCGGAGAAAUUCGGAUUAAUACCCCAUAAAGAUAUCGAGAGGCAUCUUUUGGUAUUUAAAGUUUCGACGGUACGGGAUGGGCAUGCGUAACAUUAGCUAGUUGGUAGGGUAACGGCCUACCAAGGCGACGAUGUUUAGGGGUCCUGAGAGGGUGAUCCCCCACACUGGUACUGAGACACGGACCAGACUCCUACGGGAGGCAGCAGUGAGGAAUAUUGGUCAAUGGGCGUAAGCCUGAACCAGCCAUCCCGCGUGAAGGAAGACGGCGCUAUGCGUUGUAAACUUCUUUUCCAGAGGAAUAAAAUUUUGUACGAGUACAGAACUGAAGGUACUCUGGGAAUAAGCAUCGGCUAACUCCGUGCCAGCAGCCGCGGUAAUACGGAGGAUGCGAGCGUUAUCCGGAUUUAUUGGGUUUAAAGGGUGCGUAGGCGGAUUAAUAAGUCAGUGGUGAAAACCUUCAGCUUAACUGGAGAACUGCCAUUGAUACUGUUAGUCUUGAGUACGGUCAAGGUAGGCGGAAUGUGUAAUGUAGCGGUGAAAUGCUUAGAUAUUACACAGAACACCGAUUGCGAAGGCAGCUUACUGGGCCAUUACUGACGCUGAUGCACGAAAGCGUGGGGAGCGAACAGGAUUAGAUACCCUGGUAGUC
rnacentral:rRNA from 1 species